AUUGAACGCUGGCGGCAUGCCUUACACAUGCAAGUCGAACGGUAACAGGUCUUCGGAUGCUGACGAGUGGCGAACGGGUGAGUAAUACAUCGGAACGUGCCUAGUAGUGGGGGAUAACUACUCGAAAGAGUGGCUAAUACCGCAUGAGAUCUACGGAUGAAAGCAGGGGAUCGCAAGACCUUGUGCUACUAGAGCGGCCGAUGGCAGAUUAGGUAGUUGGUGGGAUAAAAGCUUACCAAGCCGACGAUCUGUAGCUGGUCUGAGAGGACGAUCAGCCACACUGGGACUGAGACACGGCCCAGACUCCUACGGGAGGCAGCAGUGGGGAAUUUUGGACAAUGGGCCCAAGCCUGAUCCAGCAAUGCCGCGUGCAGGAUGAAGGCCUUCGGGUUGUAAACUGCUUUUGUACGGAACGAAAAGCCCUGGGUUAAUACCCUGGGGUCAUGACGGUACCGUAAGAAUAAGCACCGGCUAACUACGUGCCAGCAGCCGCCGUAAUAC
rnacentral:rRNA from 1 species